rnacentral:tRNA from 1 species
CGGCUCGUGGCGCAAUUGGCAGACGCGGCACGUUCAGACCGUGCAGAUCGGGGUUCGAAUCCCCGCGAGCCGACCA